GGGGGAUAUUGCACAAUGGAGGAAACUCUGAUGCAGCAACGCCGCGUGAGGGAAGAAGGUUUUCGGAUUGUAAACCUCUGUUUUCGGUGAAGAAAAAAAUGACGGUAGCCGAAGAGGAAGCCACGGCUAACUACGUGCCAGCAGCCGCGGUAAUACGUAGGUGGCAAGCGUUGUCCGGAUUUACUGGGUGUAAAGGGUGCGCAGGCGGGACUGCAAGUUGGAUGUGAAAUACCGGGGCUCAACCCCGGGGCUGCAUCCAAAACUGUAGUUCUUGAGUGAAGUAGAGGUAAGCGGAAUUCCGAGUGUAGCGGUGAAAUGCGUAGAUAUUCGGAGGAACACCAGUGGCGAAGGCGGCUUACUGGGCUUUAACUGACGCUGAGGCACGAAAGCAUGGGUAGCAAAC
rnacentral:rRNA from 1 species